UGGACACAAUCAGUAACAAAAGCCUAUAAAUUCUAAAAGCAAACACAGACAGUUGUUAUUCAUUUUGUUGAUGGGCCGAUCCUGGAGGUACUGCAAUACCAGGCCAACCCGUGGCCAGGACGGAGCAAGCUCCUACUCCAUGGCCUAAUUU